rnacentral:rRNA from 1 species
CUACGGGAUGCUCCAGUGAGGAAUAUUGCACAAUGGGGGGAACCCUGAUGCAGCAACGCCGCGUGGAGGAUGACGCAUUUCGGUGUGUAAACUCCUUUUAUAUGUCAAGAAAAUGACGGUAGCAUAUGAAUAAGCACCGGCUAACUCCGUGCCAGCAGCCGCAGUAAUACGGAGGGUGCAAGCGUGACUCGGAAUCACUGGGCGUAAAGGACGCGUAGGCGGGUUGGAAAGUCAGGUGUGAAAUCCUACAGCUUAACUGUAGAACUGCACUUGAAACUUCUAAUCUAGAGUAUGGGAGGGGGAGAUGGAAUUAGUGGUGUAGGGGUAAAAUCCGUAGAUAUCACUAGGAAUACCUAAAGCGAAGGCGAUCUCCUGGAACAUUACUGACGCUAAGGCGUGAAAGCGUGGGGAGCAAACAGGAUUAGAUACCCGCGUAGUC